rnacentral:rRNA from 1 species
GAUGAACGCUGGCGGCGUGCCUAAUACAUGCAAGUCGAGCGAACGGACGAGAAGCUUGCUUCUCUGAUGUUAGCGGCGGACGGGUGAGUAACACGUGGAUAACCUACCUAUAAGACUGGGAUAACUUCGGGAAACCGUAGCUAAUACCGGAUAAUAUUUUGAACCGCAUGGUUCAAAAGUGAAAGACGGUCUUGCUGUCACUUAUAGAUGGAUCCGCGCUGCAUUAGCUAGUUGGUAAGGUAACGGCUUACCAAGGCAACGAUGCAUAGCCGACCUGAGAGGGUGAUAGGCCACACUGGAACUGGGACACGGUCCAGACUCCUACGGGAGGCAGCAGUAGGGAAUCUUCCGCAAUGGGCGAAAGCCUGACGGAGCAACGCCGCGUGAGUGAUGAAGGUCUUCGGAUCGUAAAACUCUGUUAUUAGGGAAGAACAUAUGUGUAAGUAACUGUGCACAUCUUGACGGUACCUAAUCAGAAAGCCACGGCUAACUACGUG